rnacentral:rRNA from 1 species
UGUCUCCUGCUAAAGGACUCUGUGGUUUAAUUGUAGAAUCACUGGUGAAUAAGGGGUGGGCAAGUUCUGGUGUCAGCCGCCGCGGUAAAACCAGCACCUCGAGUGGUCAGGAGGUUUAUUGGGCCUAAAGCAUCCGUAGCCGGUUGCAUAAGUUUUCGGUUAAAUCUAUGCGCUUAACGUAUAGGCCGCCGAAAAUACUGUGCAGCUAGGGAGUGGGAGAGGUACACGGUACUCGAUAGGAAGGGGUAAAAUCCUUUGAUCUAUUGAUGACCACCUGUGGCGAAGGCGGUGUACCAGAACACGUUCGACGGUGAGGGAUGAAAGCUGGGGGAGCAAACCGGAUUAGAUACCCGGGUAGUCCCAGCUGUAAACGAUGCAGACUCGGUGAUGCAUUGGCUUGUGGCCAAUGCAGUGCCGCAGGGAAGCCGUUAAGUCUGCCGCCUGGGAAGUACGUACGCAAGUAUGAAACUUAAAGGAAUUGGCGGGGGAGCACCACAAGGGGUGAAGCCUGCGGUUCAAUUGGAGUCAACGCCAGAAAUCUUACCUGGGGAGACAGCAGAAUGAAGGUCAAGCUGAAGACUUUACCAGACACGCUGAGAGGUGGUGCAUGGCCGUCGCCAGCUCGUGCCGUGAGAUGUCCUGUUAAGUCAGGUAACGAGCGAGACCCCUGCGUCUAGUUGCUACCAUUACUCUCUGGAGCAGUGGAGCGAAUUAGACGGACCGCCACAGUUAAUGUGGAGGAAGGAAGGGGCCACGGCAGGUCAGUAUGCCCCGAAACCCUAGGGCUACACGCGGGCUGCAAUGGUAUGCACCAUGUGUUCCGAAUCCGAAAGGAGGAGGCAUCAUCAACAUAUCUCAGUUAUGACUGAGGGUUGUACUCGCGUCACGAUAUGAAUCCCUUAACCGGUACGCCGU